CCUACGGGUGGCAGCAGUGGGGAAUAUUGCACAAUGGGGGAAACCCUGAUGCAGCGACGCCGCGUGAGUGAAGAAGUAUUUCGGUAUGUAAAGCUCUAUCAGCAGGGAAGAUAAUGACGGUACCUGACUAAGAAGCCCCGGCUAACUACGGGCCAGCAGCCGCGGUAAUACGUAGGGGGCAAGCGUUAUCCGGAUUUACUGGGUGGAAAGGGUGCGUAGGUGGCAGGGAAAGUCAGAUGUGAAAGCACGGGGUGAAACCCCGGUACUGCAUUUGAAACUGUCCAGCUGGAGUGCAGGAGCGGUGAGCGGAAUGCCUAGUGAAGCGGUGAAAUGCGUAGAUAUUAGGAGGAACACCAGUGGCGAAGGCGGCUUACUGGACUGUAACUGACACUGAGGCACGAAAGCGUGGGGAGCAAACAGGAUUAGAUACCCUUGUAGUC
rnacentral:rRNA from 1 species